UUUCCCAGCCUGGGGCAGCAAGCAGGCUAGCCAGUGCCGGGUGAGCAGCAAACUGAAAUGGAAAACAAGCCUGCGGAUGGGGUCCAGCCGAGCAGCCUUCCCUCGGAUGUGUCUGCUGAGCCCAGGAAGCCCACAGGAACAACUUGAGGGCUGGAGGGCACUAAGCUCUGGAUGGAGAGCUUCUGCUCCCUGCCCACUUCCUGUUUCCUCCUCUCUCACUUUGGUGGAGGGUCACAGAAGCUUCACAUGCGCUUCCCCAUUGCUCCAAGCCUGCCGCUUUCUGGGUCCCUGUUAGGAACUGCACGUUGGUGUCCUUCCAUAAUUGGUCUGGUGAAGCCCUCACCUCCCAGUGUGAUGGGAUUAGGAGGUGGGGCCUUUGGGAGGAGGUGAGGUUUAGAUGCGGUCAAAAGGUUGAGACUCCUCCUCUCUCUCUCUGCCGUGUCAGGGCACAGGAAGAAGAUGCGCCUCUGAAAGCCAGGAAGAGGGUCCUUGCCAGACCCCCACCCUGCUGGUGCCCUGAUCUCGGACUUACAGCCUCCAGAACUGUGAGAAAAUUAAUUUCUAUUGUGUAAGCCAGAGUCUGUGGUACUUUGUGGCAGCAGCUGGUCUAAGACAGUCCCACCGACCUGAGCCCUCACCGCUCGGUUCUACCGAGGCUCAGGAGGGAAGCGAUGUUGGUGCAGGAGGAUGCACUCCUGGGUGCCAUUCUCCUGGGCCCGGACUCUCUCCCUCCUCUGCCCCAGGUCCCAAGCACAAAGGAGGAGAUGCUCUGGGAACACUGGUCAUAGGACAGACUUUGGCUGAUUUUGGUCUUGGGUCUUCCUCGCCGUCAUUUCCUUAUUUCCCUUUUCUGCAGGCAUAUCAUCACAUUUUCUUUCCAGGACAGGGACAGGUGCUGGCAUUCUGCUAACUCUUGGACUAGGAGCCAGAGACCUUAGAUUCUAGCCCAGGUUUUGUCACUAAACCAGGUGUUCAGGGUUAGGCAGCUCACUUUUUCUCCCUGCGCCCCAGGGAUUUAUCUGAGCGACACCUGCCUUAGAACUGUUAUUCCUUCAUUAAUAAAAACUGCGUGCCUGUUCUUCCAGUGUUGUGAUAUGACGCCGAGCAAGACAGCUGUGAUCCCUCCCCUCCUGGAUCCUGCAUUCCAGCGUGAGGAGGCAACAGGAAAUAGGUAAAUAAGAUAAUGACUGAUUGUGACCAGUGCUCUGAGCAGAACAAACAGAAUGAUGAAAUAGAGAGCCAGAGGGAGGAGGUGACUUUUAUUUCAAAGCCUCCACCUGAAAAUUGAGAAGGAGCCACCCCGGCUCCUGGGGAAGAGCACUCCAGGCUGAGCUCUGAACUAACAAAAGUGAAAAUGCUCUGCAAACUGGAUAGUGCAAGACAGCUAUCAAGUUUACUAGGAGUUCAAUUGCCUUCAUUCUCCGUGGCUUUGCCAUGCGUUCCUUGAUCGGACCCUGGAGUUGGCACAGCUCGCCAGUGUCCGGAAAGCAGUGGGAAGCCAAUUUAAGUCACAGGGUGUGGUGGAAGAAGGGUGGACUGAGUUCUCUUCUCUUUGAGGAUACGAUGAUCCCACCUAUAGAGGUACACCCUUCUCUCCCUAGUAGUCUCAUGUCCCCAGAGAAUUCAGUUCUUUGUCAUUCCACUUGCAACAUUCAGCUGGCAUUGAUGGAACACCUGCUGAGAGAUAGGAUCCUCCCCCAACUCCAAGCAGGAACUCAGGCCUCUUGGAGGCCACUUCUCCCAUCCUACCCAUGUUUGGGUCCAUGUUGGCUGCCGUCCAUUUUGCUUGUUAUUUUGCUGUCUGGCUAGAUCCCUUUGGGAAUCCAGUGGGGCUCCAAGCAUGCUGUGAUUGUAAAUUGAUGCCAGAGGGGCCAUUUAGGGGCCAGAAUGUUUCCACAUGUGUCUUCUCUCUUUGAACAAAUAUCCAGAGGCAUGAGGAGCUGUCAUGUGGUGCAUAUGGAAUCCCAGCAGAAAUGUCCCUCAGCUAAUUGACUGAGCCAGCCUCAACACGGUGGGCACAGUAGGGUAGCUGCUUCAUGUCUUCUCUGGGCAUGUCCCCUCGGAGCCAGGGAUGCUAGACAGAGAGCCACAACACUAGGCAUGGGGCCUGCCCUGUGAUUUUAUGCCCUUUUGGUGCUACUGUUCUCUAGCUGUAUGAUUUUAGAGGAACAGUGGUUUUCAAACUUCAGCAGGUGUCAGAAUUCCCUAAGAGCUGUGGAAGCACAGUUCCUUGGACCUGCUGAGUCAGUAGAUCACUGAAUAGGGGUGCAGGAAUUUGCAACUUUUUUAAAGGGCCACACCUGCCCUAAAAAAUGUUCCCAGGGUAGGGGUCAAAUUGAAGCUGUAGCUGCCAGCUUAUGCCACAGCCACAUCUGUGACCUACCAAAUCUUUAGCCCCCUGAGUGAGGCUAGGGAUCGAACUUGCAUCCUCUCAGACACAAGUUGGAUUCUUAAUUCGUGGAGCCAUGAUGGGAACCCCAGAAUUUGCAGUUUUAAGAGGCACUGAAGAGUGAUUCUGAAGGCAGUUGGGGGAAACGUGGCUGUUUAAAGUGGUGAUUCAGUUUAUUCCUCCCUUAAAAGACUAACGGUUCUUCAGGGAGCCUUGAAGCCAGGCUGCCAGAGUUUCUGGAAGCAGCACAGGUAAUGGUUCCUCCUCUGAGGUGGCUCAAUGGUUCACACUGUGCAGGGCCCAGGGUGCAUGCUCAGUAAUGUUGGUCAAAUGGAUAAAAUGCUCAGAGAUCUGGAGAGAUGAGAAGGCAGUUGGGAGUGGGCUGUUAAUUACAUUUGUGCUGCCAGAAUGCAAGUUCCAGAAAAGUAGGGGCUUAUUCUUAAUUAUUCCCAGGGCUGGAUACAUAUCAAAAAUGCUAAGUGAAUUAAUGACAUAACCCACUUCCCUCUCCCUUGGGAAUGAGAGUAUGUGUGAAAUCCCAGUGAAAUAGACUUACCAAGUCUGAUGGAAUUCCCUAACUCCCCAAAUAUCUGAUUUAAAUGAAUUUCCAUAGGAUCAGCAUUUUGAUUAAAAACCAAAUUCAGGUUAGGACAUCAAGGUAUUUUUGAGACCCAACAGGCAAACACAUCAACUGGGUAUAACAAAGUGAGUCAUGCAAUUUCUGUUGAAAAAGGAUGGAGUAAUUUAUUUGCCUUUCUUCCCCUUAAACAUCAGGGCCAGAAGAGCUGGGCCAUUAGGAAAGUCUACUAAAUAACAAACCUCCUUAAAAGCAAAGAAAGAACAAAUUAGACUGAUAAUGGAAAACCAUUUUAGACUCACCAGGUGGGCAAAAUUUAAAAGUCUGACUAUAGCAAGUGUUGGCAAGGAUAUGGUAUGAUAAAACUCUAGUUAACUGUGGGCAGUCAACUACCUCGGAAAAAUAGUGGACAUCUUCAAGCAAAGCUGCAGAUGUGUUUGUAUCUUUCAUGACUCUGCAUUCCCACUUCUAGGGAGUUAUUCCAUUCUUGCACAUGUACAACAAGAGACAUAUACAAGAAUGCUCAUAGCAGUAUUGUUUUAUAUGGCAAAAAAAUAAGCAACCCAAAUGGACAUCAACAGUAAAAGGAUAAAGAAAUCAUUGAGCAGACACAAUAGCAAACUAUGUAGCAGUGAAAAAUGAAUUAUUGUUGUGCAUCAGUAUAAAUGAAAUUUAAUAGUAUAGUAUCGAUUGAAAAAAGCCAAGUCAUAGAAGAAUCUAUAUCAUGAUUCCCCCCCGACUUUUUGGGUGUGUGUGUGUAAGUUUAUUUCUUUCCUUUUCCUUUUUUAUGGCCACACCUGCAACAUAUGGAAGUUCCCAGGCUACUCCAUAGCUUGUGGCAAUGCUGGAUCCUUAACCCAAAGAGUGAGGACAGGGAUCAAACCUGCAUCCUCAUGGAUACUAUGUUGGGUUCUUAACCUGAUGAGCCAAAACAGGAACUCCAUGAUUCCCCUUAUUUAAAGGUCAAUUAUAGAACAAACAGAACAGAUAUCAAAUUUGGGCAAAACUUUAUUUUC
rnacentral:lncRNA from 1 species